CCUGAGGCAGUCACAAAAGUUCAUCUGGAUUCAAGAGGUGGAGUUAGAGACUCUACUCCUCUUGAGGUGGACGGGUCGUGCUUGGAGGGUUCCUGGUGCAAACGUGGCGCAUUCCAGAAUUGACGUAGAGAACUGCCUCCGUGCUGCUGGUUGGACAGUUAUUCUCACCAACAAGAAGGUAGACGAUGGUUAGUCUAUCUGCAGCUGCUCCCGCUUACUGAGGGGAAAAGAGAAGACUUCCCCUUGUAACCUGGCUGGGAGCC
rnacentral:lncRNA from 1 species